CAAACUGCGAAUACCGGAGAAUGUUAUCACGGGAGACACACGGCGGGUGCUAACGUCCGUCGUGAAGAGGGAAACAACCCAGACCGCCAGCUAAGGUCCCAAAGUCAUGGUUAAGUGGGAAACGAUGUGGGAAGGCCCAGACAGCCAGGAUGUUGGCUUAGAAGCAGCCAUCAUUUAAAGAAAGCGUAAUAGCUCACUGGUCGAGUCGGCCUGCGCGGAAGAUGUAACGGGGCUAAACCAU
rnacentral:rRNA from 1 species